rnacentral:rRNA from 1 species
AUGGAGGCACCAUUGAGCGCCUCCAGCAAGCUAUCCGACGCCUCCGGUUGGACGGAGGCUGCCGGUGUCACGGUCUUGCCCUUCUUACGAAGGGGCCGCCCGCGGGACUCCGGAGCCACUAUGGGAUCCGGAGUCGAGUCCAGUGCAAAGUCCGGGAGGUUGUCCUGCGACACCUCCGGGGCCUCCUCCUCCUGGCGGGUCCCUUCCCGGGAUCCCACCUCGGCACCGUCCGUGUCACGGGGGGUGGAGGCGGUCGGAAGAGAAUCCAUAUUCGACGCACCUAAGGACCCGCUCGACGAAGCGGGAAGAUCGUCCUUGGGCGGAUUGCAAGGUUGUAUGCAGCAUUAG